AUUGAACGCUGGCGGCAGGCCUAACACAUGCAAGUCGAGCGAGCGGCGGACGGGUGAGUAAUGUAUGGGGACUCUCCGAUAGAGGGGGAUAACUCCUGGAAACGGUAGCUAAUACCGCAUACUAUCGGAUAACCCAUAUGGGAUUAGAUAGUAGGUGAGGUAAUGGCUCACCUAGGCGACGAUCCCUAGCUGGUCUGAGAGGAUGAACAGCCACACUGGGACUGAGACACGGCCCAGACUCCUACGGAGGCAGCAGUGGGGAAUAUUGAACAAUGGGCGCAAGCCUGAUGCAGCCAUGCCGCGUGUAUGAAGAAGGCCCUAGGGUUGUAAAGUACUUUCAGUCGGGAGGCGUUACCGGCAGAAGAAGCACCGGCUAACUCCGUGCCAGCAGCCGCGGUAAUAC
rnacentral:rRNA from 1 species